CCAAGGAAGUGUCUCAGAGACACCGACACUCCACAUCCAUCCUGAUGGAGCUGAGAGCUUCUGCAAAGAAAAAUGGAGGAAACAGCACAGAAAUCGGUGUGCCAAGCUGGUAGCAUCACACUCCGAACUGGAGGCUGUAUUUCCUGCCAAAGGUGCUUCAACAAUGUACAGAGCGAAGACUGGAGAAGAAGAAAAAGAAAAAUGGUAUCUGUGUUCCCUCAAACAUGAACUUGGAGAGGAAUCAGAGUUCUGCAACGCCGUGUCGAAACCUGGAGCAUUAUCUGCAGGACGAAGGUUAAUGAGGGGGAAAGUUCACUAAAGCUGUCAAAGACAAAAACAGUCCAAACCCCGUCAGAUAUCUGCUGCUUCUAACGUUUUAAAUGCUUUUCUCCGUGGAAUAAAUGUGCAUCAUUAUGGAUUUCUCAGUUCUAAAUCACUUUCAUUUUUAUUUUUACUGCCACUAAGAAAUGUGAGUUUUUAUGAAUUAAAACCAUC